rnacentral:rRNA from 1 species
UACGUAGGUGGCAAGCGUUAUCCGGAUUUACUGGGUGUAAAGGGCGUGUAGGCGGGACUGCAAGUCAGAUGUGAAAUUCCAGGGCUCAACCCUGGAACUGCAUUUGAAACUGUCCGGCUGGAGUGCUGGAGAGGCAAUCGGAAUUCCGUGUGUAGCGGUGAAAUGCGUAGAUAUACGGAGGAACACCAGUGGCGAAGGCGGCUUGCUGGACGACAACUGACGCUGAGGCGCGAAAGCGUGGGGAGCAAACAGG